AUUGAACGCUGGCGGCAUGCCUUACACAUGCAAGUCGAACGGCAGCACGGGUGCUUGCCCCUGGUGGCGAGUGGCGAACGGGUGAGUAAUACAUCGGAACAUGUCCUGUAGUGGGGGAUAGCCCGGCGAAAGCCGGAUUAAUACCGCAUACGAUCUACGGAUGACAGCGGGGGACCUUCGGGCCUCGCGCUAUAGGGUUGGCCGAUGGCUGAUUAGCUAGUUGGUGGGGUAAAGGCCUACCAAGGCGACGAUCAGUAGCUGGUCUGAGAGGACGACCAGCCACACUGGGACUGAGACACGGCCCAGACUCCUACGGGAGGCAGCAGUGGGGAAUUUUGGACAAUGGGCGAAAGCCUGAUCCAGCAAUGCCGCGUGUGUGAAGAAGGCCUUCGGGUUUUAAAGCACUUUUGUCCGGAAAGAAAUCCUUGGCCCUAAUACGGUCGGGGGAUGACGGUACCGGAAGAAUAAGCACCGGCUAACUACGUG
rnacentral:rRNA from 1 species